UACGUAGGGUGCGAGCGUUGUCCGGAAUUAUUGGGCGUAAAGGGCUCGUAGGCGGUUUGUCGCGUCGGGAGUGAAAACCUCGGGCUUAACUCGGGGCUUGCUUUCGAUACGGGCAGACUAGAGGUAUGCAGGGGAGAACGAAUUCCUGGUGUAGCGGUGAAAUGCGCAGAUAUCAGGAAGAACACCGGUGGCGAAGGCGGUUCUCUGGGCAUGAUCUGACGCUGAGGAGCGAAAGUGUGGGGAGCGAACAGG
rnacentral:rRNA from 1 species